AUGCGCAAGGACCUCCCCCCAGCGCGCCCAGCUCACUGCGGAGGGAGCUCCCGCCUGACAGGAACUCAUGAAGCCCAGCCUGGCCUUUAACAGUUUAAUCAACAGUUUAAUCAAGGAUGGAUUUGAAUUGACCUUCAUGCUUUCACCAAGAUUUCAUUCUUUACGUUAAAAUAAACAAGCACAUCCACAAACUUUUCAUCUCUAAGAAAUGGCCUGCCUUAUCUCACUUUAAGGCUUACCUUGGCAUAAUGAAAAUUAAAUAUAUGUCUAAAAGAAACCAAACGACCAACACUGACAAUCAGUCUUCCAUGUGAACGCAAACAAUGCUUGAUUGAAGAAUGGAUCUAGAAAAUGAUAACAUCUUGGUGCUACACACACAUUUGUUUUACUGUUGACAGCUUUUUGGAGACAGUGAAACUGGCGUGGAAUUCACUAUGUAGUAGAGGAUAAUCUUCAAUUCCUGAUCUCCUUGCCUCCACUUCCUGAGUGUUGUGGAUUAGAAGUUGCUUGUGCUGUUUUGAGGCAGUGUCUAUCCAUGUAACCCAGAGGCAGAGUGGGUCUCAAAUGCAUGAUUCUCCUGCUUCAACUUCCCAAGGAGCUGUGAUUCUAGACAUGUGCCACUAUUCCUAGCAGGUAUAUGGUUGUAAGAUUAUCAGUGGCAUUUUUAAACAUCAAAACUACUUCAUGGAAUUGUUACAGAAAAUUUACAACUGUAGUAAUUCAGAACAACAGACCUUGUAUGAUAUAUAUUUGCAAAGUUCCUAUUUCCAGUUAAGAUCAAAUCUGAAGGUUUUGGGUGGACAUAAUCACAAGAGGGUCACCGUUCAACCCACCACACUGAGAAUGUCUAUAAUCUUUCUCUGCUUCAGUUUCAUUAUUAGUAAAUAAAUUGUGACCUCAACAUAUUAUGGUAUAUCC
ensembl:lincRNA Gm26851 predicted gene, 26851